rnacentral:rRNA from 1 species
UAACGAUUUGGGCACUGUCUCAACGAGAGACUCGGUGAAAUCAUAGUACCUGUGAAGAUGCAGGUUACCCGCGACAGGACGGAAAGACCCCGUGGAGCUUUACUGUAGCCUGAUAUUGAAAUUCGGCACAGCUUGUACAGGAUAGGUAGGAGCCUUUGAAACGUGAGCGCUAGCUUACGUGGAGGCGCUGGUGGGAUACUACCCUAGCUGUGUUGGCUUUCUAACCCGCACCACUUAUCGUGGUGGGAGACAGUGUCAGGCGGGCAGUUUGACUGGGGCGGUCGCCUCCUAAAAGGUAACGGAGGCGCUCAAAGGUUCCCUCAGAAUGGUUGGAAAUCAUUCAUAGAGUGUAAAGGCAUAAGGGAGCUUGACUGCGAGACCUACAAGUCGAGCAGGGUCGAAAGACGGACUUAGUGAUCCGGUGGUUCCGCAUGGAAGGGCCAUCGCUCAACGGAUAAAAGCUACCCCGGGGAUAACAGGCUUAUCUCCCCCAAGAGUUCACAUCGACGGGGAGGUUUGGCACCUCGAUGUCGGCUCAUCGCAUCCUGGGGCUGUAGUCGGUCCCAAGGGUUGGGCUGUUCGCCCAUUAAAGCGGUACGCGAGCUGGGUUCAGAACGUCGUGAGACAGUUCGGUCCCUAUCCGUCGUGGGCGUAGGAAAUUUGAGAGGAGCUGUCCUUAGUACGAGAGGACCGGGAUGGACAUACCUCUGGUGUACCAGUUGUCGUGCCAACGGCAUAGCUGGGUAGCUAUGUGUGGACGGGAUAAGUGCUGAAAGCAUCUAAGCAUGAAGCCCCCCUCAAGAUGAGAUUUCCCAACUUCGGUUAUAAGAUCCCUCAAAGAUGAUGAGGUUAAUAGGUUCGAG